rnacentral:tRNA from 1 species
AGUUUUAAUAAAAAAUUAAAUUGCAAAUUUAAUUAAUGUAAUUAUACAUAAAACUU